rnacentral:rRNA from 1 species
AUUGAACGCUGGCGGCAGGCCUAACACAUGCAAGUCGAGCGGAUGACGGGAGCUUGCUCCUUGAUUCAGCGGCGGACGGGUGAGUAAUGCCUAGGAAUCUGCCUGGUAGUGGGGGACAACGUUUCGAAAGGAACGCUAAUACCGCAUACGUCCUACGGGAGAAAGCAGGGGACCUUCGGGCCUUGCGCUAUCAGAUGAGCCAAGGUCGGAUUAGCUAGUUGGUGAGGUAAUGGCUCAACAAGGCGACGAUCCGUAACUGGUCUGAGAGGAUGAUCAGUCACACUGGAACUGAGACACGGUCCAGACUCCUACGGGAGGCAGCAGUGGGGAAUAUUGGACAAUGGGCGAAAGCCUGAUCCAGCCAUGCCGCGUGUGUGAAGAAGGUCUUCGGAUUGUAAAGCACUUUAAGUUGGGAGGAAGGGCAGUAAGUUAAUACCUUGCUGUUUUGACGUUACCGACAGAAUAAGCACCGGCUAACUCUGUGCCAGCCGCCGCGGUAACAC